rnacentral:snoRNA from 1 species
GUUAAAACUCCCUAAGUUGUAUUGUUGGCUGAUGUAAUCAGUGGUGAGCUGACAAUAAGCCCCAGCUUUCAGGAAACAGGGUUGUCCUACAUGUAGAUGAAUCUGGGCCGAAAGCAUGGGAACCGCC